UACGUAGGGUGCGAGCGUUGUCCGGAAUUACUGGGCGUAAAGAGCUCGUAGGCGGUUUGUCGCGUCGUCCGUGAAAACUUGGGGCUCAACCCCAAGCUUGCGGCGAUACGGGCAGACUUGAGUACUGCAGGGAGGACUGGAAUUCCUGGUGUAGCGGUGAAAUGCGCAGAUAUCGGGAAGAACACCCGUGGCGAAGGCGGCUCUCUGGGACGGUACUGACGCUGAGACGCGAAAGCGUGGGGAGCGAACGAGG
rnacentral:rRNA from 1 species